GUUCGACUGUUAUUUACGUGUUUAGUGCAGAAUGUUAAGUAAAACAGUUUUAUUAUGUUUCUUCAAUAGUUUAUAUCUACAAGCAGAAGCAGACACACAAUGCGAUGAAUUUACUAUGGAUAUUGUCGAUAUACAGGAUUUUAGCAAUUUUAAUGCGAUAAACAAUUCAAUAACAUACAUACACACAACAGCCAAAGAACUCAGUACCUGUGACUAUCUUCGGGUAUAUGUUGAGUUAGAAGAACCAUUGCCAGGACUAACGAGGGCAAAGGCGAACUUCACACUUAAGCUGGAACACACAUCAAAGGGCAGCCUUGUAUCACUGGAGAAUCAGGUUGAUGGUGGCCUUAUAGCUGGAAUUAUCAUUGGUCUACUACUCCUCAUAAUUGGUGGAUAUUUUGUAUAUAAUAUAGUGAUGGAAAAACUUAAAUCUGGAGUUUAUCGUUUGCCUCCAACAACGGAAACAAUGCAGUUCAAAGCGUUAUGAAGUGAUUGUUGAACAAAUUAAUCGCCAAUCUCCAUCACUUUUAGCUUUUUACUUAUAUCCUAAUAAGCAAGAAUUUAUAUUAAGAAAGUAACAAUCUCAAUAUAUUUGAAAUAUAUGUACAAAAGAUAUGACAUCACAUCAUUAACAGCGGACAUUCCUCAAAAUUUUGAUUUUAUUUGAGUAUGUAAUGCUUGAAUUAAAAACAAUAAAAUGUAUUGAUCGUUC